GACUGGUGACAGAGUGAGAGAGGGGGUGACUAGUGACAGAGUGAAAGAGGGGGUGACUGUCACUAGUCACCCCAUCCCUCACUCUGUCACUAGUCACCCCCUCUCUCACUCUGUCACUAGUUAC